AAUACUGGGAGCAAUUUGAUUCUAAACUGAAACAUCAAGAAGCCAAAUGGCUGUUUUUAGUCGCAAAAUAACAGAUUUUCUCGAUUUAGAUUGCUGUUCAGACACCAGAUAGAAAGCCGAAGAAAAGGAAGACACCUGAUAACCUAUUAAUCGGAGGUUUAUAACAGUAUAUAGGCCUAUAGUUGAGAAGAUAAGUUUGCAUUCCCUUUUUUCUCAAAUGUUCGCACCCCUUUCAUAAUUUCAAAAAAUGUAAGAGAUAAAAGAUUGAGAUGAAUGUUGGCACCUUGUGUAAUAGUUGUGUACAACCCACACAGCAAAGGAGUCUGUGGCGGACCCGCCCUCAAGCCGCCAGAUCUGCCUGACUGUCAGAUUCGUUUUCACUGCGCUAACAGGAUCGGCCCCGCCUCCAGGAUCGGCCCCGCCUGCGCUUUUAAUUGGCGGACCCAGAACGGAUCACAUACGGAUCCGCACUUCGGACGCGCCUUAGAUAACGGACGCCGUACGUGGGAUUAGUGUCGGAUCUCUUUCGCGUGAAGGCUGCCCACUUGUUAUUGGAUCUUGGGCUGAGGACUGUUCCACCUGUGUGAAGAUGUUCCAUGUAGUUGAAUUUGUCACCAAUAAAACUGUAGCAGUGGUGCCCCAAAGCUGGUAUGAGGAUGGUUGUGCAUCGUGGCCAACUUAUAACAGUGAUGAAAGAAUUAAUAGGGCAGUAAAACAUGAAGAGGAGCCACAGGAUGACUGGCAGAC